AGCAAUUACAGAAUUGGGAUCUUGAGCUAUUCUGAACAAAUUUGGAAAGUCAUCCUGAAGAAUGGUACUUCCAACCCAUUUGUCCUUCCAAAAUCUUAAGAGUGAGCCAUUGUCCACUUCAAAAUGAGUCUGUUGAAUAAAGGAAGAUUAGAGGCCUUUGUGCACCAAUGAUCCAAUAUUCCAUGCCUUUCUAUCACAACAUCUUUCCAUAUCCCUGCAUCCUCCAGGCUGAAUCUCCAAAGCCACUUCAUCAUCAUGCUUUUGUCAUGAGCUGCAAGGUCCUUGAUUCCAAGACCUCCUU